UGGGGAAUUUUGGACAAUGGGCGAAAGCCUGAUCCAGCAAUGCCGCGUGUGUGAAGAAGGCCUUCGGGUUGUAAAGCACUUUUGUCCGGAAAGAAAUCCUUGGCUCUAAUACAGUCGGGGGAUGACGGUACCGGAAGAAUAAGCACCGGCUAACUACGUGCCAGCAGCCGCGGUAAUACGUAGGGUGCAAGCGUUAAUCGGAAUUACUGGGCGUAAAGCGUGCGCAGGCGGUUUGCUAAGACCGAUGUGAAAUCCCCGGGCUCAACCUGGGAACUGCAUUGGUGACUGGCAGGCUAGAGUAUGGCAGAGGGGGGUAGAAUUCCACGUGUAGCAGUGAAAUGCGUAGAGAUGAGGAGGAAUACCGAUGGCGAAGGCAGCCCCCUGGGCCAAUACUGACGCUCAUGCACGAAAGCGUGGGGAGCAAACAGGAUUAGAUACCCUGGUAGUCCACGCCCUAAACGAUGUCAACUAGUUGUUGGGGAUUCAUUCCUUAGUAACGUAGCUAACGCGUGAAGUUGACCGCCUGGGGAGUACGGUCGCAAGAUUAAAACUCAAAUGAAUUGACGGGGUCAUAGCUGUUUCCU
rnacentral:rRNA from 1 species